GGUCUUUCGUUUUCAUUCGUGCUAUGUUCCUGUUCGCCUUGUACAUUUAACCUCACAGGUUCUUGGCGGCCCGCACUUUUGGGAGAGGAGCUCUGGGGAGGUACUGAUCAGCCACAUCAGAAGUUAAUAGUCACGUAACCACGGCAACAAGUCAUGAGGCAACCUCAGCAAUUAUGCCACUGCCACGAGAGGGGAGAAGGGAGGAAGUAGCACCCUGAGGCCCCCCGCCUUUGUUCAUCUUGGCCGGCCCCGGCUCCAACCCUCGUCUAAGCGCAGCGCUUCCAUGCGAGGCCAGUGACGAGGGCCGCUGCUGCACGCUGCGCUUCCUGCCACUCUCAUUAAAUCAUCUCUGUUUCCUGUACUACAGUGGUCUGGUGAGGACGGCCACGAGAAACCGACUGGCUGUACGGAAACUCUCUGCUGCCCUCUUUUGUUCUGUAACACUCAAAAAUGACUUCUACAAUCUGAUGGCAAAUAAAUUACACUAAAAAGGGAAUUAAAAACUUGAGAACACUGAUUAGAAAGUGCUUCACACCAUGAUGUAAAUUACAAUCAAGAGUAAGAGGUGAACGUCAUUUCAGCUUUUGAAGUUCUAAAAGCUUUUUUGUUUUUCUUUUCUACCAGAUUUAUGUUAUUUGCUUAAGUCUGAUUGGUUUUACUUACAAAACAUAUAUCAUUCACUACAAAUUGCAGUUUAAA